UACGUAUGGAGCAAGCGUUAUACGGAUUUACUGGGUGUAAAGGGUGCGUAGGUGGUAUGGCAAGUCAGAAGUGAAAACUAUGGGCUCAACCGAUAGACUGCUUUUGAAACUGUCAAACUGGAGUGCAGGAGAGGCAAGUGGAAUUCCUAGUGUAGCGGUGAAAUGCGUAGAUAUUAGGAGGAACACCAGUGGCGAAGGCGACUUGCUGGACUGGUACUGACACUGAGGCACGAAAGCGUGGGGAGCAAAC
rnacentral:rRNA from 1 species